ensembl:lncRNA
CCUCUCUCUACUUCUCAGCUGCCAUGGGGUGAGCAGCUUUUAUCCACUAUGCCCUUUUCACCAUGCCAUUUCUGCCUUGGAGCCAGUUGACUACAGGCUGAACCUACUAAAAAUGACCAGCUUUCCCAGUGCUGAGGUCAUUGUCCAUUGAGGUCACUUUGAAAAGGCUGAGCAAGUCCUGUUAACAGCGCUUAUCUCCUCUUCUUCAGAAUCAGAAACAAGGCAUCCCAGCCUAUGCGUCAUCUGACAUGGAGAAGGACUGCAGGUUAGGUCCUGCUCAUCCACCUGGCAGAGGGAGGAUUCCAGGGGCACAAGACUCAUGAAGAUGAGACUCAAAACUGGCACACUGUCAUUUCUGCUACACUUGCAUUUGACCAAAGCAAAUUUACAAGGGUAACCCAGAUUCAAGGACUGCAGGAAAUAGAUU